rnacentral:lncRNA from 12 species
GGUGUCCCCAAACGGCCCCAGUGUCCCCAGAGCCACCAGUGUCCCCAGUGCCACCAGUGUCCCCAGUGUCCCCAGUGCCACCAGUGUCCCCAAACGGCCCCAGUGCCACCAGAGCCACCGGUGUCACCAAUGUCCCCAGUGUCCCCAGUGUCCCCAGAGUCACCCGUGCCACCAGUGUCCCCAGUGUCCCCAAGUGUCCCCAGUGUCCCCAGUGUCCCCAGUGUCCCCAGUGCCACCAGUGUCCCCAGUGUCCCCAGUGCCACCAGUGUCCCCAAAUGGCCCCAGUGUCCCCAGAGCAACCAGUGCCACCAGUGUCCCCAAAUGUCCCCAGAGCCACCGGUGCCACCAGUGUCCCCAGUGCCACCAGUGUCCCCAGUGUUCCCAGUGCCACCAGUGUCCCCAAAUGGCCCCAAACGGCCCCAGAGUCCUCGGUGUCCCCAGUGCCACCAGAUGGCCCCAGAAACGGCCCCAAAAGCAGCCCCAGAAAUGGCCCCCGACAGGUCCCAAGGGAGUUUUGUCACCUGUGGUGUCCCCAGGGUGUCCCUGUCCCCAAGGGGUCAUUGUCCCUGUCCCCAGGGUGUCCCCAGGGUGUCCCUGUCCCCAGGGUGUCCCCAGGGUGUCCCUGUCCCCAGGGUGUCCCCAGGGUGUCCCUGUCCCCAGGGUGUCCCCAGGGUGUCCCUGUCCCCAGGGUGUCCCCAGGGUGUCCCUGUCCCCAGGGUGUCCCCAGGGUGUCCCUGUCCCCAGGGUGUCCCCAGGGUGUCCCUGUCCCCAGGGUGUCCCCAGGGUGUCCCUGUCCCCAGGGUGUCCCCAGGGUGUCCCUGUCCCCAGGGUGUCCCCAGGGUGUCCCUGUCCCCAGCGGAUCAUUGUCCCCAUUCCUGUCCCCAAUGGGUCCCCUGAGCCUCCCCUGCCUAGGCUAUACUGGGAGCAUACUGGGAGGGCACUGGGAGCACUGGGGGGAUACUGGGAGCAUACUGGGAGCACUGGGAAGGAACAACAGAGCCUCCCGCUGCUCCCAGUUACCCCCCAGCAACAGGGAUGGGAUGGGCUGGGAUGGAAUGGGAGGGACCGGGAUGAACCGGGAGGGACUGGGAUGAACUGGGCUGGACUGGGAUUAACUGGGCUGGACUGGACUCCCCCCAGAAGCGCAAGGUCGAGGUUGUGUCUCCGGCCACGCCCGUCCCCGCCCCCACCGAGACCUCGCAGGCGUCCGUCUUCCCCCAGGUGAGCCCAGUACCCCCAGUAUGGCCCAGUCACACCAGUAACCGCANAAAGAGUUAUGCAUGUAAAAGAAUUUAAACAUCCACUGUGCUGCUUACUGCCUAUUCU